GGCGAACGCUGGCGGCGUGCUUAACACAUGCAAGUCGAACGGUAAGGCCCUUCGGGGUACACGAGUGGCGAACGGGUGAGUAACACGUGGGUGAUCUGCCCUGCACUUCGGGAUAAGCCUGGGAAACUGGGUCUAAUACCGGAUAGGACCACUGCCUGCAUGGGUGGUGGUGGAAAGCUUUUGCGGUGUGGGAUGGGCCCGCGGCCUAUCAGCUUGUUGGUGGGGUGACGGCCUACCAAGGCGACGACGGGUAGCCGGCCUGAGAGGGUGACCGGCCACACUGGGACUGAGAUACGGCCCAGACUCCUACGGGAGGCAGCAGUGGGGAAUAUUGCACAAUGGGCGCAAGCCUGAUGCAGCGACGCCGCGUGAGGGAUGACGGCCUUCGGGUUGUAAACCUCUUUCAGCACCGACGAAGCACAAGUGACGGUAGGUGCAGAAGAAGGACCGGCCAACUACGUGCCAGCCGCCGCAGUAA
rnacentral:rRNA from 1 species